rnacentral:rRNA from 1 species
CUGCCCGGUAGCUAAAUGCGGAAGAGAUAAGUGCUGAAAGCAUCUAAGCACGAAACUUGCCCCGAGAUGAGUUCUCCCUGACUCCUUGAGAGUCCUGAAGGAACGUUGAAGACGACGACGUUGAUAGGCCGGGGGUGUAAGCGCAGCGAUGCGUUGAGCUAACCGGUACUAAUGAACCGUGAGGCUUAACCUUACAACGCCGAAGCUGUU